CCAUGGGAUGAGCUGUGGAUAGCGGAGAAAUUCCAAUCGAACUCGGAGAUAGCUGGUUCUCCUCGAAAUAGCUUUAGGGCUAGCGUCGGGUAAUUGAGUAGUGGAGGUAGAGCACUGAAUGGGCUAGGGGCUGACAACAGUUACUGAACCCUAUCAAACUCCGAAUGCCAUAUACUUGUACCCCGGCAGUCAGACUACGAAUGAUAAGAUCCGUGGUCAAAAGGGAAACAGCCCAGACCAUCAGCUAAGGUCCCAAAGUGUAAGUUAAGUGGGAAAGGAUGUGGGAUUUCUAAGACAACUAGGAUGUUGGCUUAGAAGCAGCCACUCAUUUAAAGAGUGCGUAAUAGCUCACUAGUCGAGAGAUCCUGCGCCGAAGAUGUAACGGGGCUCAAACUUACCACCGAAGCUAUGGAUGUGUACUAUGUACACGUGGUAGAGGAGCUUUCUGUACAGGUUGAAGUCAUACCGUAAGGAGUGGUGGACAGUACAGAAGUGAGAAUGCUGGCAUAAGUAGCGAAAAACAAGUGAGAAUCUUGUUG
rnacentral:rRNA from 1 species